CUAGCCCCCACCUUUGCGUCCAUCAUGGAAGCUUCUGAUUGGCUGGGGAGCAGCAGCCAUGUUUGGCUGUGCUAAACUCCCAUUCAAGGCUUGUGAUGAAAGAAGAACCGAAGAGGAGGACGAAGAAAAGGAGGGCACCAUGUCAUGGAACCCAGUUACAGGGCUUUGGUAAUUCAGCCCUGUAACUGGGAGUCAUAACAUAAACAAUCCCAGGAGCACCUGGCAGAAGAAGAUAGAAUAUGCCUGGGAACUUGGGGCCGAAAGUAUAAACAAUUAUAAUUGGUCUAGUGUGUGAAAAUGGUAGUAAUGUGAUAUUGGGGGUGGGACUUGAUGAUGAUAUUUACGUGUGGUGUUACGUAGCAUCAAAAGUUAUAAAAAUAGUUGUAUGUAAACAUUGGGUCAUUCCUGACUUUUCCAAAGUCAUGUGUUCUUCAAUAAAGAUUGGAUUUGAGAGCAGCC
rnacentral:lncRNA from 11 species